UUCCUAGUGAUCCAGUUGUUAAGAUUUUACACUACCAAUGUAAGGGGCAUGGGUUCGAUCCCUGGUUGGGGAA
rnacentral:tRNA from 1 species